rnacentral:rRNA from 1 species
UGGAGAGUUUGAUCCUGGCUCAGGACGAACGCUGGCGGCGUGCUUAACACAUGCAAGUCGAACGGAAAGGCCCUUCGGGGUACUCGAGUGGCGAACGGGUGAGUAACACGUGGGUGAUCUGCCCUGCACUUUGGGAUAAGCCUGGGAAACUGGGUCUAAUACCGAAUAGGACUACGGCCUUCAUGGGUUGUGGUGGAAAGCUUUUGCGGUGUGGGAUGGGCCCGCGGCCUAUCAGCUUGUUGGUGGGGUAAUGGCCUACCAAGGCGACGACGGGUAGCCGGCCUGAGAGGGUGACCGGCCACACUGGGACUGAGAUACGGCCCAGACUCCUACGGGAGGCAGCAGUGGGGAAUAUUGCACAAUGGGCGCAAGCCUGAUGCAGCGACGCCGCGUGAGGGAUGACGGCCUUCGGGUUGUAAACCUCUUUCAGCAGGGACGAAGCGCAAGUGACGGUACCUGUAGAAGAAGGACCGGGCAACUACGUGCCAGCAGCCGCGGUA